CGGGCUAAACCCGCGUACAUGCCACCGGGGCAUCCCGGAGGCAGGAAAGGCUUCGGCCGGACAGGGAUGGGCAUGCGGCGCAUUAGGCAGUAGGCGGGGUAACGGCCCACCUAACCGACGAUGCGUAGGGGUUCUGAGAGGAAGGUCCCCCACACUGGUACUGAGACACGGACCAGACUCCUACGGGAGGCAGCAGUGAGGAAUAUUGGUCAAUGGUCGGGAGACUGAACCAGCCAAGCCGCGUGAGGGAUGAAGGUACAGAGUAUCGUAAACCUCUUUUGUCAGGGAACAAAGGCGGGGACGUGUCCCCGGAUGAGUGUACCUGAAGAAAAAGCAUCGGCUAACUCCGUGCCAGCAGCCGCGGUGAUACGGAGGAUGCGAGCGUUAUCCGGAUUUAUUGGGUUUAAAGGGUGCGCAGGCGGUCUGUUAAGUCAGCGGUCAAAGCCCGGGGCUCAACCCCGGCCCGCCGUUGAAACUGGCAGUCUCGAGUUGGAGAGAAGUAUGCGGAAUGCGCGGUGUAGCGGUGAAAUGCAUAGAUAUCGCGCAGAACUCCGAUUGCGAAGGCAGCAUGCCGGCUCCACACUGACGCUGAGGCACGAAAGCGUGGGUAUCGAACAGGAUUAGAUACCCUGGUAGUCCACGCAGUAAACGA
rnacentral:rRNA from 1 species